UACAGAGGUCCCGAGCGUUGUUCGGAUUCACUGGGCGUAAAGGGUGCGUAGGUGGUUGUGCAAGUCUGAUGUGAAAUCUCCGGGCUCAACCCGGAAAUGGCAUUGGAAACUGCAUGGCUAGAGGAUUGGAGGGGGGACUGGAAUACUUGGUGUAGCAGUGAAAUGCGUAGAUAUCAAGUGGAACACCAGUGGCGAAGGCGAGUCCCUGGACAAUACCUGACACUGAGGUACGAAAGCUAGGGGAGCAAACAGG
rnacentral:rRNA from 1 species